AUUGAACGCUGGCGGCAUGCUUUACACAUGCAAGUCGAACGGCAGCACGGGCUUCGGCCUGGUGGCGAGUGGCGAACGGGUGAGUAAUAUAUCGGAACGUAACCAGAAGUGGGGGAUAACGUAGCGAAAGUUACGCUAAUACCGCAUACGAUCUAUGGAUGAAAGCAGGGGACCGCAAGGCCUUGUGCUCCUGGAGCGGCCGAUAUCUGAUUAGCUAGUUGGUGAGGUAAAGGCUCACCAAGGCGACGAUCAGUAGCUGGUCUGAGAGGACGACCAGCCACACUGGAACUGAGACACGGUCCAGACUCCUACGGGAGGCAGCAGUGGGGAAUUUUGGACAAUGGGCGCAAGCCUGAUCCAGCAAUGCCGCGUGAGUGAAGAAGGCCUUCGGGUUGUAAAGCUCUUUUGUCAGGGAAGAAACGGUAGAGGCUAAUAUCCUUUGCUAAUGACGGUACCUGAAGAAUAAGCACCGGCUAACUACGUG
rnacentral:rRNA from 1 species